UUCACUAUCGUUGGUAGGACCAUACUAUCUAACACCUCUGUUGAAAGGUUCCAUGAAGUAUCAUCUGAAAGUGGAUUAACUGGCACUUCAUAUGUCUUCUUGAAGUAUUCUUUGGUGUAAUAUGCCGAACAAUAUUUGGGUGCUUCCAUGUGUGUGUAGUCCAAUACUACCAUAGCAUGUGGACAAGGAAUCUCAUCCACUUGAAAUCAUUUGCACGAGAAUUUUCUUUUUUGCAUGCAACCUAUGUUCCGGCUUUAUUCAGCAUCCAUUACUAUAUAUACAUAAUCGGUUGAAGGCCUCAGCUAUAUUUAAAUAGAUGUCAUUAGUAAAACGAAAACAUGGAUAUGAGAAGUAUUAAUGCAUUUUUGUCAAAGUAUGUUACUCCAGCAUAUGAAGUAAGAUACGCUAAAAGAAUAUUUACCCCCUUCUUCUGCGACACAUAGCUAUUUUCCUUCAGUACUUCAUGAUAUUUUUUUCUACACCAAUAAAUGUACUCAUUACAGUUAUUCUAUUUGUAUUAUUCCAUUCCAUAACCAAAUUCAUCAUGUAAUCUAGCAAACUCAUGAUUGGUAGCUCUCUUGCCUCUCUGUUCCUUGCAUUGAGUGACUCAGCUAUAUUUGAAGUCAUCACCAUGGAUCUAUUAGCAGUGAAAUGCACUAUAGACCACUUUUCAUAACCAACUUGGAAUAGGUAAACUCUUACCCUCUUAUCAAUGCUGUCCAUAUCUUCCAUUAGGAGAUUAAAAUCUUCAAUUUUGUAUGCUCUAGCCAUUGCAAAAAAUACUUCCCUCAGCCGAUCAUGGUUCUUCUUGAACUGCUUCUUUAUGUUAUUCCAAAGAUGAAAGAUGCAUAUACAGUGAGAUACCUCUGUAUAUCAAUAUUUGAAGUCAUCCCCAUGGAUCUAUUAAUAAUGAAAUGCACUAUAGACCACUUUUCAUAACCAACUUGAAAUAGGUAACUCCUUAGCCUCUUAUCGAUGUUGUCCAUAUAUUUCAUGAGGCAAUUAAAAUCUUCAAUUUUGUGUGCUCUGACCAUCACAAAAAAUACUUCCCUCGGCCGGUCAUGGUUCUUCUUGAAUUGUUUCUUUAUGUUAUUCCAAAUAUGAAAUAUGCAUAUACAGUGAGAUACCUCUGGAUACACAAUCAAAAUACCCCUCAAUAUGCUUGCAUGACAAUCCGAUACGAUGCACAUCUUUUCCCUUUUCCCAAAAGCCUGUCUAAACAUUUCGAAAAAUCAUUCCCAUGAAGCAUCAUUUUCAUAAUCUACAACAGUGAAUGCUAGUGAAAGAAUUUUACCUGGUUAAAAAAAUAAGAAAGCAUUCACAUGUUAUUUUUGUUAUACACGUAUAAGAACUAUCUAUACCAUACAUAAUUAUCAUACAAGACUGCAACAUAUUUACCUGCCGCAUUUUGUGCUUUAGAUGUUAACAUGCUCCCCUGUGUGAUAAUUUGAGGAAUGUCCCAUCAACCACUACAAUAGGGUAAAAAUAUUUCAAUCCUAUGAUUGUUGCAUUUAGUGCAACAAAAACAUACAUGAAGCGCCCAUCCUCUGAUUUAUGUAACAUUGUGAAAGAACAAGAAAUUGUCAUAUUUAUCAUAUACAAGUGACCUGGCAAUUUUUUAUAAGAUUCACAUGGUAUCCUUCUUAGUAGUUCAAGUGCCUUUUAUUUUGUUCUAUAGGCUUUUAUGUAACUCAUAGUAAUCUCAUACUAUUGUUUCAUGGCGCUCAUGAUGUCUGCCGGAGUGUAUAUUGUUUUUGGGUUGGCAUAUUUGUUGCAAAUCAUUUUUGCAAUGGUAGACGAAGUAGCAUGAUGUUGUGAAAACAGUCUAGUCAUCUCUGGGCAAGUAUGAACAUCAUUGAACCGUCUAACCUUCGAAGACAUUUGAUUUGUGUAGGCUUGAAGAUCUAAGACUCCAUUUGAAACUUUCAUCCACACAUGUAAGAUAAUACUUAUUUAAAAUAUAGGGUUAUGAUAAUGCAUUUCUUCAGAUUUUUACACUUGUAUCUCAAAUAAAGAACCAUUAUACAUAUGUAAUCUCACUAUACCAUAAUGAUUUAAUUUUUAUACAAAUAUGUAUACAUAAAAUUACGCUAUGCACUUUUUAAUACAGAUCUAUAUACAUAAAAUCAAGAGAAGUGCAAUCUCACUAUACAAUAAUUAUACAGUUUUUAUAUAGAUCUGUAUACAUAAAAUUAUAUAUAAGUGCAACCUCAUAAGUAGAAAUCAUAACUUGUUGUAGAUGAUCUAUCGACUAUAAAUUGACAUUUUUCUCGUAUUGCAUAGUGCUUUAUUACACUAAUAAGUGUAUCUUUCUCCCAAUACAACUGACCUUCUGCAAUUUCUUCAUGUUGUGGAUUGUCUAUUAUACAAUUUUCCUUCAAUAUGUCAAUUUUGUCUUCCUUUGCAUGAUCAUGAUUAUCUCAACAAUAUUUGUUUCGUGUACUUCUUCUACGUUCUGACAUUGUAAACCAACUGAAGUUGUUGCGAGUAAGUUUCCAGCUAAAGUUGUUGCGAGCAAGUUACCACCCAAGUAUGAACUUGAAUAUGAGCAUUCAGCACUUGAAUACACAGUUUUCAAUGUUAUGCAUAAUGAAUAUUCAGUAAUAUUCAGAUUUUCCUUUUUCAUCUCCAUAUACAAGCGCACACUCAUAUCAUUGUAUAUUGGAAUUGCUAUAUAGCCAUCCUUCACGGUAUAUUUUAUCUCAUUGCACUUGUAACUGAAUCUCUACCCAAUUGCUUGUAUAUCUUAUCAAAAAAGUAAUCAUAGCUACAGUCCGAAUUGAUCAACACGCCAUUAAUAAGGAAAAUAACAAAUUUACUCUCACUGACCCAUUCACCACUGUGUUGAAGUAAAAUCGGAAUCAAAGUUGGAACGGUAGUUUCAACAUUCACAAUCUCCAUAGACAUUAGUUGAUUUUAUCAAUUUGUAUUAAUUUCACAAUUUAAGAACGAAAUCUUAGCUUUAUUAAUUUCAGUGUAAAAUUUUGAGAGCUCUUCUCUGGGUUUAAUCUUCACAAACCCUAGAAUUAUUUUACAAUGUGAAUCAUUGGGCGACUUUUAUAGUAUUUGGAGGUUGAAGAUCUCAUACUACGACUGCUUUUCUUUUCGUUUGCGUAGAGCGUAUAGUUUUAGCUUUUCCAAUUGCUAGCCUUUGUUAUUGUUUUGAGGCUAUUAUUUAUAAGGGGUUAUUUUGUUGCUAUAGGUGAUAUAAGUUUGGACAUAAUUGCUACAAAUAAAGUUUGCUCUAUCAUUUAACCAGGAUUUUAUUAUGACUCCUAAUCUCCGAAGAAAUGGAGGUACCCACGUUUCUCCUAUAAAAAGGGUCUAGCAAUCUCUUCGUAUUAUAGGAGGCUAAUGUAUGAGACCAUUGUUUGAUGAACUUCUUUUAGUCCAAAAAAUAGCAUUUUUCCCAUAAGGUAUGCGAAAGAGAAGUUUUUUUAUAUGAACUUGAAAGUACCUAUGACUAAACAAUUACGGAUAGUCCAAAUUAUGUAGAGGGUGAUUAGAUUAGCUUUUACAUUGGUCAGAUUAGCUUUUAAGCUUUUAUUUUAGCUUUUUUUAAUAUUUGACAAAGUCAAAAAAUGCUUUAAAUAAGUUCAAAACGACUUAAAACAGGCCAAAAGCAAAAAGUUGAGCAACCCAACUUAUUGCUUUUUGGCUUAAAAAUUAUUUUUGCAGAAAAAUUAUAUUUUUUAAGCCAAGCCAAACUAGCUAAUAAUCCUAUUUCUCUAAGUAUAUAAUCUUACACCAUGAUUCAUUAGUUGAAUUAAAGGAAGAUUCCAUUAAAAUAAAGAAAAUUUUAUUAAACUUGGCAUGCAAAAACACUAAAUAACAUCUAACAAUUAUUUGUAGAAGAAAUAAGUGGUUCCCUCAAGCUCUAUUGUUUUCCUUGUGUCCUUAUUUCCGUAAGUGUUUUCACUUCAUUGGUGACCCACAAAUAGAAGUAGAGCUGGAAUUUGAAGUUUAUGACCGUCUAUUUAAAUUACUGAAUUCUAAAUUAAUAAUUUAUAUAUAUUAGAUUUCUUAAGACAAAUAUAGAGCUUGAAUUAAAGUUACUGAGUUCGACAACUCAUAACCUGCAUCCCGGCUCCGCCCUUGCAUAUAGAUAUUUACUUUUUCUAGGACUUGGGACUAUUUUUGCUAUGUCAUAUUUGUUUGGGACAUUCCUCGCAUUAAUAUAUAUUUAUGUUAUAAUUCUGGGAAGUAUAUUUUGAUUUAUGAACCUAUGCACUUGUGGUGCAGGAAUAUCGUGACAACAUGGAGAUUAGACUGAGCCAGAAAAAAAAGGAAGAGGGCAGACUCAACAACUCAAAAGCUAAUCUCAGCCUUUUGGCCAUUGUGGAUACUAGAGGAGAUACAAUAUAUAAUGGGUUCGCGGAUUCAGCAGAACCUAGUGAUACGAUUUAACAAGUAUAGCUCGAGUUAAGGAAAUCUAUGAACACGCGAGGCUAAAUAUAGUAUGAAAUCUCAAACCAUUAAUAAUAUAUGAACAGGCUUUAGCUGUAAACAUCAAUGAAACACUUAAGGAUCAAACUUGACUGCAAAAUCGCGAUUCAAGAAGCAUCAGUGUUGCAGUAAAUAACAUGAUAUAAAGGCACUAAACAAUACCAAGAUCCAUCCCCUUUUCCACACUGCCAAAAACAGAAUUUAACGUGCAGAAGUUUGUUCUAUUAAGAUCUGAAUAAGAUCUUUAGGUGAGCUUAAAUGUAUCAUCUAAAAGAUAUUGACAAAAACAUAAACAAGUCUACCUCUUAGAUUGUGUUUUAGAAUGCAACUUUAUGGUCUCCUCUUGGACUUGUUGCGCAUAAACCCUUCCAUAAAAUCUUCGACGAGUAGGUUUGGUUUUACUUCAUGGAGCAAUCCUGGUUUCUUCAUCUUAGAAUUCUGAAAAUAACUGGUAAAAGUGAGUAGAGUUAGUAACCAUACUGAUCUGAUAACCCAAAAUAGGAUUAUUAAUUUGGUAGCAAAACAAGUCAUCAACAGAAAAACAAGCACAAAGGCUGUAGCACCAACUUCUGUUUUUUACUUUCCAUGCAUUAUUUCCCUUAUAGACAAAAAAGGCUGCCCAAUGGACAAAGCAUUCUGCAUUUACGCAAGGUCCGGGGAAGCUGCGCACCCUAAGGGGUGUGAUAUAGACUUACUUUCUGAAUAUACAACCAACACUUACAUGGAACUUCUUGAAGAUCCUGGUUUGUCCCUCAAACUCAAAGCUUCCAGUUGGUGUGCCAAGUUCUUGUCUUGAUCACCUUGAGCUGAGCUAGUUCUUGAGACAGCAUUUCCAUCAAUUGGCCAAGUCAUUGGAAGUAUUAAGUCUCUACAGAACAAGAAAACUUGUCAUGUCAGCAUUUCAAUGUUUUCAACAACAACAACAACAACCCCAGUAUAAUCCCACUUAAUGGGGUCUGGGGAGGGUAGUAUGUACGCAGACCUUACCUCUACNNNNNNNNNNNNNNNNNNNNNNNNNNNNNNNNNNNNNNNNNNNNNNNNNNNNNNNNNNNNNNNNNNNNNNNNNNNNNNNNNNNNNNNNNNNNNNNNNNNNNNNNNNNNNNNNNNNNNNNNNNNNNNNNNNNNNNNNNNNNNNNNNNNNNNNNNNNNNNNNNNNNNNNNNCCCCCGGCAUCCUUCCCUCCAAGAACAUCCCACCUUGCUCUUGGGGAGACUCGAACUCACAACCUCUCGGUUGGAAGUGGGGGUCCGCGAAGCAAACAUGUGCUACACCCAACCUCUUGCAUUUAGGAUGGAACUUGAACUCGUUCCUCAUUAUCAUUUGCACAAGUUGUCUACGUAAAUACUCCAAGGCCAGAACAAAGAGGUAUGGAGACAUCGGGUCGCCUUGUCGCAAACCUCUUUUCCCUUUAAAUGGAGCAGUGAGGCCACCAUUGAAGUUGAGAGAAUAGGUAACAGAGGAUAUACAUUCCAUAACCCACCCGAUAAAUUUAUGAGGAAAGUCCAAAUUCUGCAGCAGUCUAUUAAUGACAGACUGAACAUCUGCCAUACAGAACAAAAGAAGAUCAUCCGCGAAGCAAACAUGUGCUACCCCCAACCUCUUGCAUCUAGGAUGGAACUUGAACUCAUUUCUCAUCAUCAUUUGCACAAGUUGUUAUGUAAAUACUUCAUGGCCAGAACAAAGAGGUAUGGAGACAUCGGGUCGCCUUGUCGCAAACCUCUUUUCCCUUUAAAUGGAGCAGUGAGGCCACCAUUAAAAUUGAGAGAAUAGGUAAUAGAGGAUAUACAUCCAUAAUCCACCCGAUAAAUUUAUGAGGGAAACCCAGAUCCUGCAGCAGUCUAUUAAGGAAAACCCAUUCUACUGAGUCGUAAGCCUUCUUUAAAUCCACCUUAAGCACACAUAUAGAAGAAAUGCCCUUCCUGAACUAGCCUUUGAACAGUUCUUGUGUGAAUAAGAUGUUAUCAAUAAUACUACGACCGUCAAUGAAUGCUGACUGUGAUCCACCCACCAGAUGGUCAAUAACCACUUUCAACCUAGCUGCUGUGAAUAAGAUAUUAUCAAUAAUACUACAACCCUCAAUGAAUGCUGAUUGUGAUCUACCCACCAGAUGGUCAAUAACCACUUUCAAUCUAGCUGUAAUAAUCUUUGUGAUGAUCUUGUACAGAGUUGUACAGCAGGCAAUGGGCUUGUAGUCCUUGACUUUGGUUGGAUUCUGUACUUUGGGAAUUAGAGUUAGUGCAGUGCUGCUAACUCCAGUAUGUAACUUCCGGGCAAUCCAGUGAGCUCUAGAUUUCUGUUGUAAGAUUUGAUCCUCUAUAUUGCUCCACUUCUUCACCUCCAUAAGUAGCAGCCUCUCCUGGUCAAUCAACCAUUUGUCCAUACAAUUGUAUUGCAAGUGAUUCUGUAUGGUUUCCAGCUUCUACCUUGCCUCACUGAGAUGUAACCUAUACUUUGCCAUAUAGGUAUUCAGUUCCUUUAACCCCACCUUUAGGGCCUUCAACUUAUUCCAUAAUCUCUGCAUUUGCCCUCCCUGCUAAUGCUGAUUCCAUACCCUUUCCACAAUGCCAGGGAAUUCAGUAUGGUCCAUAACAGAUGUAUACAGUUUGAAAGGCUUAGGAUGAAUGUUCCUUCUCUGUUCCUCAGGGCUACACAGUAAGAGGAUAGGGGAAUGAUCUGAAACUCCCGGAGUCAACACAUCAGCUUCAAUGUGACUGUAUUCCUGCAUCAAGUGCACAUUCCAAAGACCUAAUCAAUUUUUCUAUACACUCUUGUCUCUGGCUUUUGUUUAUUUCACUACGUAUAAAAACAGCCCAAACUCUUCAACUAAGUGAGUUGAAGAGCAAUGAGAGUGUCUUGGAAACCUUGAAUCUCCUGUUGCAUAACUGGAGCACCUAUUUUGUCAUCCGUGUGGAGUACAUUAUUGAAAUCUCCACUGAGAAGCCAGCUGCCCUGAAUAGUAUCCCCUAAGAUCAACAAUUUGGCCCAAAGUUGUUGUCUCUUGCUCAAUUCAUUAUUUGCAUACACGACUGUUAUCAGUGUUCUGAAGGUUGUACCUCUUUCUUUAACCUCACAGUGAAUAAAUUGUUCAUCAAUCUUCAAUACCUGCAGAUCAACUUUUGAAUUCCACAGUAUCCAGGUUCUCCCAUUGGGAUGCUCAUUGUAGUUCCCAAUAUGUCUCCAAUCAUUCCCCAGUUUUGUAACAAUCUGUUUCACCUUUGCUUCCUUCAAGCUCACUGUAGUUUCUAGUAUGUCUCCAAUCAUUUCCCAGUUUUGUAACAAUCUGAUUCACCUUUGCUUCCUUCACUCUAGUUUCUAUACAUUCAUACAAUCUACUUUAUGCUUUUUCAGAAAGUGUCUCAGCUCCUUCUGUUUAUGGGAAUUAUUUAGACCACUAAUGUUCCAUGUGCAGACUAUCAUGAUGUGGUGAAGCUGGAUGGGCCAGCGUCCCCUGGAUCAUCACCUAUCUGUAGCAAAGAGAAGCUGUUAGUUGUGUUCAAUGAGGCUCCGUCACAUUGUUGUACAUUCUUUCCUUUUGCCAACCCUCAAUCAAUCACCCUGCUUCCAGCAUUGUCAGUGUGCUUACAUUCCUCCACUGUUCUAUCAGUUUUAACCACUACAUUAUCCUUCUUUGUUUUUUGGUAUCCAUUGCCAUGUCUCACUUUGCACUUUCUGCUUUACCCCUGCUGCCUUAUAGUGGUUCUGUGCUACCUCUUCAUUGCCCUGCCUCUUUAUAUACCAACAGUCUUCAGUACUAUGACCAAAUCUGACACAGUCAUUGCAGUAUUUUGGCCUCCAUUCGUAUUCAAUCUGUUGUAUGAUAACCAAGCAGUCUUCAGUGCUAUGACCAAAUCUGACACAGUCACUGCAGUAUUUUAGCCUCCAUUCGUAUUCAAUCUGUUGUAUGAUAACCUCCCUCUUUGUAUGUAACUCAAGACUAUAAGGCAAUGGUUGGGAUAUGUAUGUUUCCACCAGAACUCUUGCAAAAGAUAUCCUCUCCAGUUCAGCAGUGAUUCCAUUGGUGUACAUAGGUUUCCCAACUACACUUGCUAGUUUUACGAUUGCUUCAGUGGACCAAAAUCCAAGUGGCAAGCCAGGGAAAGUGACUCAUAAAGGAACUACACUCAUAUUACCUGGUUCAUACUUGAAGUCCAUACUCCACUGUUGCAACACUAAUGGUUUAUUAUGAAAUAUGUAUGGACCAGCCUGAAGAACAAGGUCCCUAUCUUCAUUGGUGUCAAAUUUGAAAAAUAUAAUAACCUUCGUCAUGAUGCAGCACUUGAGGUUUUGGGACAAAAUCCCAAACAUUUGUAAUAAAAUUGUCCAUAGCUCGCUCAUACGGGUAUUCUCCUAGUAAAAAUCCAAUCAAUGCACUGCUCCAGUAGGUCUCAUGUUCCUUCGUAUCAUCGUUAUCAUUUUGAACCACAAACGUACAAUCUCGCAUUACAGGUGGUACAUAGCUUAGGGAUUUCCCUUUUUGAGGGCUUCGAUUAUGUUGCAUGUUGUCUCUGUUACCAUUUUUAGCCAUAGGAACACCAGAGAUCUGACCAAUCUGAGCUUGUUUUGCUUGUGCAGAAAAAUGGAGCCGUCGAUGAACUGUAUCGACACGUUCCAUCCCCAACAUUUCACCCUCGCCUUCAACAAUUUCCUCACUGAUAGAUUGGAAUUUCAACGGUAGGAAACUGCCAAAUGUUACUGGUAUCCUCUGCUGGACACCAUUUUCCGGCGUUAUCUGCAUCCCGAAUUUUCCAGUUCCGCUAGGGUUGUGAAAGAUUGUCGGCGUCCAACCCAUUCCGAUUAACCACUGUGUAGGCUUAUUCAUAGCUGGUGUUUCUAUUUUCUCCACCUCCGGUAUCAAUUUUGGCACCGGUUGUUUUUUCCGUCCUCUCACCAUGGUUGGAGGCGCAGGUUAGCGUCCUGCUUAUCCUGCGCCGAGAGCUUUUUAGAGAGAGAAAAUCUCUAUCAAGAUGUCAAAUAUCACUCAUACUUGUAUAUACUUUUUUUGAUACUAUCAAUACGUAUAACUUAAAUGCAUAUAUGAUCCUAAAUGAUUUUAAUUUACAUAGACAGUGGUGACAUCAUUUUAUGCUAUUAAUGUAGUUUUUUUGUUUUUUAAUUUAAAGUCACCUUUUAUGGUGUAGGGGUUCUAGCGGUAUUUUUGUGCCUCGUCUUUGUGAAAAUAGUACGGGCUAACAAUUGAAAAAUAGUCAGUAUUUGCAAAGUUAUUUAAAAAUAGGCAAAUUUGUGCUGCAACACGGAAAAUUCCAACAUAAUAUACUAGAAUUGACGCACCCGGUAGCGGAGGCAGGAUCUCCACGAAGGGGGUUUAAAAAAAAUUGUAGCUAGCGGAAAUUGAACCUUUGACCUAAUGAAGGUUCUGAAUCCCUUUAACCACUAAACGACACUUUUGAAUUGUGUUAAGGGAGUUCAAAAGUUAAUAUAUAGAGAUAAAAAAUAGAUUAUAUAUAUAUANNNNNNNNNNNNNNNNNNNNNNNNNNNNNNNNNNNNNNNNNNNNNNNNNNNNNNNNNNNNNNNNNNNNNNNNNNNNNNNNNNNNNNNNNNNNNNCCCGCCCCUCUCUUUUUUUUAAAUGACCCUUCUUCAAUAAAAUUGAAAUAAGAUGGUACACACAUUCUUAGAUCUUGCCACCUUUCACUUUUAUUAAGAGUCACUAAAUGAAAAUAAAGAGGGCUACCACGUGGGGGUAGGAAGGGAAAUUUUAAAUUAUCCCAACUUGUUACUUGAUUAGAUAAUAUUCUGUUACCCGAUAAUAAUCUAUCUCUUAUUUCGGAGAAAUAAGUGGCUCACGAGGAAUGGAAAGAAACAUAUUCUAUUUGAUCUCUAAGUCCGUACAUAGCAUGAUCAUAUUGUACCAUAUAAUAUAUAUAUAUAUAUAUAUAUAUAUAUAUAUAUAACUUCCAGCAUUUAUGCUGGAACUCCAACACCCGAAAAGUUCCAUCAUAAUAUACUAGAGAUUGGAACACAUGUGCAUGAACUUCCAGCAUAUUAUGUUGAACUAGUAUAUUAUACUAGAACUCCAAUAUAUUAUGGUGACGAAACGACUAGUCAGUUCGCUUUUAAAGAACCUCAUUACCCUAUAUAAGACUUCCCGUACUUUCUUUUGCGGAUUUAUGACUUGCAGGAAUGGUUGGUUCACGAUUUGGAAGGGUUUGGGUUGAAAUCGGAACACUUGGUUCCCCAAGGUUGGCUUAAAGGUCAAGUUUUCGGUCAAUGUUUUGAGUAAACAAACUCGAAAUCCAUAUAUAAAGGUUCCAACAUGUUCGUGUGAUGAUUUCGGACUUGGGCGUAUGUCCGAAUUGGGUUUUGGAUGUCCUCUGAGCGUUUUGGUGUCUAAUAGUGAAAGUUGAUUCCUUAAGGAUUUUGAAGUUCUUAAAUAUUUGGUUUGGAGCUGGUUUUUUUGUUAUCGAGGUCCAAACGGAGUUUCUGUGAUCGGGAAUAGUUUUGAAUUUCCAUUUAAGACUUGUAAACAAAAUUUGAUGUCAAUCCGAGUAGUAUAAGUGUGUUUCGUCGCAUUGGAAGUAAAUUGAAGAGCUUGAAGUUCAUAAGUUUGAUUCAAUUGGUUUUAGGGGUGAUUAUUAGAUUUAGCGUUGUUUCGGGAAUUUUGAAGGUUUGAGCGAGUUCGUUUUAUGAUUUCAAACUUAUUGGUAUGUUCGUGUGGAGCCCGGAAGCCCCGAACGUCAAUUGAACGAGGCUCAAGUGAAGUUAGAAAAUUUAGAAAGGAGCUGAAGCUCUAGUCUUCUAUCAUAAACACACUUGCGGUUGGUCAGUCGUAGGUGCAAGAUCAUAGAAACGGUCGUUCUCUCUCAUGAGCGGCCAGGGCAGGCCAAUCCUAAAGUCACGGGAGCGGCUAAUCUUCCGCAGAAGUGAUUUUCUCGCCGAAGAAGUGGCCCAGCUGAAUUUUCGCAGAAGUGAACACCUUUCCGCAGAUCGGGUGGGCGCAGGUGCAACCCAGGACAACAGAUGCAAAAAUCACUGAAGCAAUGACCUUCAUUUAUUGUGGGUGUUAGCAUUUUUGGCUCAUUUCCCCUCAUAAGUUGCGCGAUUUUGGGCUCUUGAGAGAAGAUUUUUAUCUAGCAUCUUGAGGUAAGUUAUUCCAACUUAUUUUGAAUUUAGUACUUGGGUCUUGGGUAGAUAACACACUAAGAUUAGUGAAAAAUCAUGCGAUUAGAGUAAAAUUAGGGUUUUGAUAAAAAUAAGAUUUAACCACGAAAUUUGUUAUGGAAUAGAGUAAGAUAUCAUAUAUUCUUGAUUCUUAGGUUAUAAAGAACAACUUUCUUCAAAAAAUUUCGGAAUCCGGGCACGUGAGCUCGAUGAAGGAAUUUAGGAUACUUGUGUUUAGGGUUAAAAAAUUACUUUAAUAGUUAGAAUGUGAACUUGUAAGCUUGUAUUGACUAUUUCCUACCUUGUUUAAUUAGUUUUGUAUCAUUCGGAUUCAAAUUGGAGAUUUGAGCGUGUUCUCGAUAUUGGAAGUACGCUUGAAGCGAGGUGAGUCUCUCUGACCUUGUAAGAGGGAAUUAUCCUCAUAGGUGAAAUAAUUGAGUAAUCUGCCACUAAGUGGGGCGGGCUACGUACACAUUAGGUGACGAGAAUCCGUGCGUAGCCAUUAUUAUGCUUAAGUUCAGAUAGUCUAGUACUCAAAAGCAUGCUUUAUGUGAUAUUCUUGUAACUUAAUGGUUAACUUGGAUUGCUUAAAUCAUGUUGAAUGUGGAAAAUGAAAUCAUAAAGAGGAACAUCAUUUUCUUGACCUUUUUAAAGAGAAGUUGUCAUUUCUUUGAGUAAUUGCCUCCCUGAUAUAUUCAUAUCUGGCUAUUUGUUGUGUUUAAUUAUAUUUGAUCGUGUUCACAUGUAUGAUUCACGAGCGGGGUAAUAGAUGCAUAUAUGAUUCGCGCCACUUCGCCACACUUUAUUUUUCUAUUGGAUAGGGCCGUACGACCUUGACACUAUUUGCGCCAUGCCUCUUGCUUGGUAUCUUUAUGUGAAUUGAACUUUGUUGAAUGCCCUGAAAUGUAAAUUGCUAAGUGAGAUAUUAUUUAGGAAAUGACCUAUCACUUCUUGCUAUAAAUUGUUAUUUAUUAGUGACAUCCAAGCUUAGUAUCACAUUUUCUUAUAUUAUUUGACCCUAGUAAGUGUCAAGUCGACCUAUCAUCUCUAUUUCUUUGAGAUUAGACGGGAUAUUUACUAGGUACAUAAUGUUUAUGUACUCAUAUUACGCUUCUUUACUUAAUUGUACAUGAUCUGAUGCAGGUAUAUUUGGCUACCAGUCUGGUGCGUAUUCUUGAUCGUUGUCCGAGAUUCUACGGUGAGUUGCUCCCUUCCUAUGCCGUUCAACAACAUGAUGGAACCUCUCUUUGAUUUUGGCUGUCUAUUUUAUUUCAGACAGUAGAAUAGAUUUACUCUUUUGUAUAUUCUACUAGAUGCCCAUAUACUUGUGACAUCAGGUCUUGGCACACACAUUUGUAGACUAUUAUUUUAGGAUUGUAUAAUUAUUAUUGUACGUUGCUAAUUAUCACGUGUUAUAAAUUCAAAUCAAGAAAUUAUUGUAAUUGUUUUAGUAAAGUAAAAUUAGAAUUCACUAAUAUUUCUACGUUUGCUUGCCUGACUAUGGUGUUCGACGUCAUCACGGCCUGCAAUGAAAUUGAAUUGUGAUAAUUAUGUUUGAAUAUUUUUUAAAUUUUGAAAAAUAUUUUUGUUCAGCUCUAUCUUUACAUAAAAAGUGAUUAAAAUUCAAUUACUUUUAAAAUUAUAGUUAUUUUUCAAUGACCAAUUAUAAAUACAACUAUUUUUUAGUUUCUUCCGUUGUCAUUCGAAGUCCUGUUUAAAAAGUAGUUGCGAGAAUAAUUUGGAUUAAGCGGUCCUUUUUGGGGCCACUAUUGAGACAUAAGUUGGCCAGAGUUUUCCUUGACAUAACUCUGUUACCGUUACUAAGAAAAGUAAGUAAGAAUUACUAUUGAUGUGGCUCUUUGGCUUCAUCACCCCCAACAUGUCUAAUUGUCUACAACACGUUUAUACUAGGUAUGAGGGAUAACCGAAUUAAAUUUAAGGUAAAUUUAUUUCACGUUCGAUUUAGAUAAAAUUUCGAAAUGAUUAAUUUUGGAAUUGUAGUAUUAUUUUUAUAUGUUUAUGCGAAAUGAUCCUUCUAUGUUGUUUAACUUGUUGUAAUAAACUAUCUUACUAAUUUAUAUUCCAUGUUACCAAGAACAAAAAGGAAUCGAAAGGAUUAAGUCAUUGGAAAACACGAAAUAUAUUGUCGACAAACCAACGUCAUGAGGGUGUGAAAGAAGUGAGGUCAUAUAUGGGAAAUGUACAACGAAAUAGCGACGUGAAAGUGACUUUUUUGGGGUCGUUUCGUUUUCUUCGUUGGGAAUUAAAGAGAUUUUAAUUUUUUUUCAUCACCUUUAUAUUCUUUUCUCAUUUGCCAAGACUUAGACGAGUGAACUUGUUAUUAUGACAAAUUAAAAGCCAGUAACUUUUUUCAGCCGACGUCCAUUUCUCUCUUGGUAAAUUUAAUUCGGACUAAGGCCCUUUGUCCAUAAAAUUUUACAAAGUUUUUAAAAAUUGUUUGAAAAUAAGCUUUUUAAUAAAUAAAAAGUGGUUUUGAUCAUUUUGUCAAAACUUUCGAAAUAAAAUUUUCCCAAUCAUAAACCUGCAAUAUUUUUUGUAAUAAAGUACAUGUCCAGAUAUAAUUUUAAAUACUAUUUUUCAACUUAACUCCAAAUACUAAUUUUUUCAAAAAUUAUACUUUUGUUGUCCAAACGCCUACUAAAACACAAUAUAACUCGUUAAAUAAAUAAUUACAAAAUAAUUCUUCUAGAAAAAUAUUUUCUUUGCCUUUUUUCGCUUCAAAGGUUUCACCAAAUUUACUUUAAUGAUACCAAACUAACUUUUUAUAUUUUCCAAAUUUAUAGUAUUUUAAAAAUAGUUUUAAUUUUUUUAUUAUUUUCUGGCUAUUUAUUACUUCCUCCAAUCACUUUUACUUGUCACAUUUUGACCUUUCACGUCCCUUAAGAAAUACUAAUAUAUAAAGUAUAUAAUUUACUAUGAUACCCAUAUUAGUUGAUGCUAUUGUAUUGGAUUUGAGAAGAUGAUUUGAAAUGAGUAAUAAAUUACUAUGAGAAAAAAAAGAAACAAAUUUAUUGUCUUCUCUUGAUAUGCAUAAAGUGCCAAGUAAAAAUAAAUAUUUAUUUUUAAUAUACAUACCAAGUAAAAAUGACCGAAUGGAGUAAUAUAUAAGCUACUAAAAUUUAAAAAUCACGGGGCUUACGUCAAAUUCCAUGAGGUUUAUGGUGCACUUUAUACUAGGUAAAAUGCCCCUCUUUUUAAAAGCUGAUCAAUAUUUAUUAAUGGAAAUCAACUAGAGCUAUUACUAUAAGCAUUUUGAUCUUGAUUUAAAUGAAAAAAUACAUAGUCGAAUCAAAUUAAUUGUCGAAAAAACAAAAAAUCAAAUUAAUCAAGUUGAAAUCAUAAAAAACAAUAAUCAAGUCAGGCCAAUUGCAUCCGUAUAUACUUCUGUCAUGACUCUAGAUAAAGGUAUAAUUUAAUUUGGACAAAGAAAGACAAAGUAUGGUAAUGCGGGUGACAAGAGUAAACAAUAAGAAAUUAGAAAGACUAAAAUAUUUGUGCGAAUUGCCUAAGAAAUUAAAAAAGUACAAAAUAGAGAAUAAGGGCAUCAAAGAUUUUCUUAGAAAAAAAUUAAAAGAGUGCUGGAGUUGGAGGGAAUAAUGCCAAAUAAGAAAAUUGAAAAUGCAAGUAUAUAUAUAUAUAUAUAUAUAUAUAUAUAUACAAGCAAAUGCAAGUACUCAUAUUAUUAUGGAAUUUAAUUUAUUUGACUUUUAUGAUUAUUUGGUUGAAUAGGAAAAAUAAAAGAUUUAGAAUUGCAGAAGGGAAAUUAAAUUCAAACAUUACAACUCCUUGUAAGUUUUCACCACAAAAGAAAUGCCUGACAAGUUCUUGUAUAACACCAAAAUGAAUACUAGGAUAGGGAAAGGAAAAAAGGGAAUCUUACAUAAAUAUCUCAAAAGUCUUAACUUAUCAGUCUCUAACCAUUAAUUAUAGAUUUGUUAUAAUUAGUCAAACACAUAUAAAAAUUAAAAACAUAAACAAAAUAAGGUUCUUUCUUUCAAGAAUCACACACAAAGAUCUCCUUCCCUAUUUUUAAGUGUAAAUUAGCAACAUUAAAUGCAAGUCGGAAAAAAAACUUUGGUGAUGAAAUAGCAAAUAAUAUAUAUAUAUAUAUAUAUNNNNNNNNNNNNNNNNNNNNNNNNNNNNNNNNNNNNNNNNNNNNNNNNNNNNNNNNNNNNNNNNNNNNNNNNNNNNNNNNNNNNNNNNNNNNNNNNNNNNNNNNNNNNNNNNNNNNNNNNNNNNNNNNNNNNNNNNNNNNNNNNNNNNNNNNNNNNNNNNNNNNUAUAUAUAUAAGACUCCAAAAAUCUAACCAAAAAAUGAAAACAUUUCCAAUGGAUAUGGUUGAGAUUCAUUGAAAACAUAUAGAUGAGUCAACAUAUCAAAUUUGAGGAAGAUUGGAGCUGAUUUGAACUGAUUGAGUAUCAAAUUUCGCACUUAAAAUUGAGUUCAAAAAUUCUUUUGCGACAUGUGUAUCAGACAUACAUCACACAUGUAUCCCACACGCAAAUAUACAAGGAUAUACAUGUGAUACACAUCAUACGACACAUGUUUGUUAGACAAGUGAUACACAAUGCGAUACACAUAUCAUUUUUUUCAUGUUCAUUUUCUAUUUCAAAUUUUCAAUCCAAAUUACCUCAAAACUCCACCAAAUCAUCCCAAAAUUGAGAUUCAAACUACUUAAGAUGUACUCAAUCUAUUAUAAUAAUAUCUACUAAAAAGAGAGCAAAAAUUUGACCUCUUUUGGCUACAAAGGGCUAAUUAGCUAGUAUUGAUGAUAUUCUAAAAUUGGCCAAUUUUUAUAAUAAACUACUUAUAAAUGAACAUAGCUGGUAUUUUUCCAAAAAAAAUUCACGCGUUGUGGCCACUUUUUGGUUUUCUAUUUGGUGUCCGGUACCUACAUUGACGUUCGAUUAAAUUAGAUAUCGUAUUGAGAAGUCCUAUAUUGGGGUGAAAAUAGCACAUGCUAACCGGUUUUCGAACUGAUAAUUGAAAAAUAGCCAGCACUUGUAAAGUCAUUGAAAAAUAGUUGUUAUUUUACUAAAACACGAGAAGUUCUAGCAUAAUAUGCUGGAUUAUGGAGCUCCUACGUAUAAACUUUCAGUAUAUUAUGUUGGAACUCCAACACAUUAUGAAAUUUCAGCAUAUUAUGCUGGGAUUGUUUCGGAUUUUUAAGGAUAUUUUUUAUCAGAGUUUAUCAUUACAUGAAAAACUUGUUAAACUUCGAUUAUUUUUAAAAUUGUGGCUAUUUUUUCAUUACCAGUUAUAAAUUUGGUUAUUUUUUAUAUUUGUUUCCCUAUAUUGAGGGAUGAAGCGCUCCUUAUAUUGUUGGUUUAGGUUGUGGCCAUGAAAGAGAAAGAGAACAAAAUAGAGAAACUUUCAGAAACCAUUUACUAUAUUACUUUAUAUGAUUAUAUUUUUAGGGUUUUUAGAGUGUAUACAGUGUAUUUAAGCUACUAUAUUCAUGAAUACAGUAAUAUUUCUAGUCAUGAAACAUGGGAUUACAGCUAGACAAAAUUUUAUAUUCGAGUGUAUUCGACUGUAUAUAUGGCGUAAAAUAUGGGAUUACAACUGGACAAAUUAUUGUAUUAGGCCGUAUUCAUGGUGUGAAACGGGGCAUUACACUAUUUUUAUAAGGAAAGUGAAUCAAUUAACAUAAUAGACUUCUAAUAUAACUCAACAAACUCAAUUAUAAUACACAAAUUUUGUAUUUUCAGUUAUAAAAAAGAUUCUCAACCGAAAAACACCCAAAGAAUAUUGCAAUCUUCAGAGAAAUUACAUAAUACAUCUGAAUUAUAAAUUAUAUCAAUUAAAAAACAUAUGAAUACAUUCAUAGAAUAUAGUGACAUAGUGAAUACAAUGAAAUACACAUAAUAUAUCGGGAUACAUUGAAAUAUAAUGUAAAAAAAAUAAUGAAUACAAUAAAAUACAUAGAAUACAACGAUACAUUAAAAUAUAAUGAAAAAAAGACGAUGGGUACAAUGAAAUACAUGGAGAUACAUUGAAAUUUAUUAACAGAAAAUUCAAAUUGUGCAGCCCAACUCCGCCGUCUUUGUCCAAGAAUAACCCUAAUAUUGUCUCGUUGAAGCAACAUCAGUAUCCAUUCCUCGCUUUCCGACACUAUUGCCCCUGGUUGCCGAUAAUUAGUACGUAAUUACCGCGAAAUAACAGAGGUUUUUGUUGAUCCUAUAUGCUGCGUCAGAGAAUGAGAUUGGGAGGCUGAGGGUGGCGAUAUUAAUGAAUAACGACCACGAUCGAACGAUGACGGUGGCAACUGCUCCAGCGUCCACCAGAGGAGAACACAUCGUGAAGGAGAGAGAGAGAGAGAGAGAGAGAGAGAGAGAGAGAGAGAGAGAGAGAGAGAGAGAGAGUAGAUAUGGGGCAGGGGGUAGGAGAAGUUUGAGGGGAUAUGAGAGAGAAAUAAUACAAAUCUUAUUUUAUGGCUUAAUGUUUGGAGGUAUUAUAAAUAGAUAUUUGAUUAUCAAAAAUUAAGAAGUAGCUAUGAAGUAUAAUUUUUUAAAAAUAUUUAUUUAAAAUAAAUAAAGUAACAACCUUCGCUAUAGGAAAUAACUGAAUCUGUUGGGAGCAGCAUAUAAAACUCUUGAACUUUAACACAAAUUUAUGUCAACAACUUAAAUUUCUUGAGACAUUACCUUUAGACUAGAUUCAGAAAUAUGCAUGAGUACCAUUCUCAAAACUAAUUAACUGGCCGAAGGUCAUGCCAAUAAGUUGAGCUGAAAAGAGCAAGAAAAAGGAAAAGAGCUCUGUUUGGUAUAAAAAAAAAAAAUUUUCCGUCAAAAAUAUUUUUUUUAAAAAUAUUUUCUUGAAAAAUAACUAGUAGUUUUAUUUAUUUUUCGGUAUUUGGUACACAAAUUAAAGAAAAUAACUUUUCAAAAGUAUUCAUAAAUAAUUUAGAUACAAUAAAUAUAAGUCAUAGAUUUUCGAACCAACAACCUUUUGAACUCACCAAUUUCAUAAACUUUCGAAUGACUAAAUUUUGGAAACUGCGAACUUUCAAACCUUUAAACUUUAUAAUUUCUAAAUGCGUAAACUUUCAAACACAUAAACCUCCAAACUCAUAAAUUUGGAACUUAUAAAAUUUUGAACAUGUAAACCAAAAGAUGAAAAAACUAAAACUGAAAUUAUAUUUUAAAGAAAAGAAUCCGGGGAGGGGNNNNNNNNNNNNNNNNNNNNNNNNNNNNNNNNNNNNNNNNNNNNNNNNNNNNNNNNNNNNNNNNNNNNNNNNNNNNNNNNNNNNNNNNNNNNNNNNNNNNNNNNNNNNNNNNNNNNNNNNNNNNNNNNNNNNNNNNNNNNNNNNNNNNNNNNNNNNNNNNNNNNNNNNNNNNNNNNNNNNNNNNNNNNNNNNNNNNNNNNNNNNNNNNNNNNNNNNNNNNNNNNNNNNNNNNNNNNNNNNNNNNNNNNNNNNNNNNNNNNNNNNNNNNNNNNNNGGGGGGAGUAGCGAGGUGGGUGGUGAUGGGAAAAAAACUUUUUCAGGGAGAGGGGGUGGCUGGGUAGGGAUUGGGUAGGUUCGAUCGAACCCGCACCUAAUUUGCUAGCUCCAAACAUGAAUCACCUAUGAUUACUGAAUUGUAUCUUAUUUUUUGUCAAUAUCUCCUAUAUAUACAAUAAAAAAAUUAACCUUAAAAUCAAGUGUCAUGUGGAAGCUAGCAAAUCAACCUUGAGCAACGAUAAAUCGUACAAUAAAGAGAAAUAUACCAAAAGAAACACAAAUAUAUAACGUGGUUUGAUCAACUGACCUACAUCGACGGUGGAGAUGAGCAAUCCCCUAUAAUAAAAGAGGAUACAAAUAUCGAGAGAACAACCUCACGAAGAGGUAAACACAAGUGAAACGCUAACACUUGUCCCGUAGAGAUCUCCCCCUAAGCACGACUCUCAAGCCCCCAUAUGACUACAUUGUGAAUGCUACUCAAUGAGAAAGAUGGAUCUUCAAUUUAUAGAGCCCUAAACAGUUUCCUACAAGAAAAGAAACUAGCCAAAUAUGAAAUAAUUAUAUUUUCUUUCUAGAAAAAAAAUUCAACUAUAAUAAAUAUGUUAUCAUUUCCUUCGUGAGAUAGGAAAUUCGAAUAAACCCCUUUCGUCCCUGCUCGGUCCCAGCGAGCCCAAAUGCAAAGGUCUCGAAUGAGAACCAAAACUUGAUUAAUUCGAACCAAAACUUGAUUAAUUCGAACCUAAACCAACAGCAGCUGGGGCUUAGCUGCAGCAAUUCAAGGAAAAGUAGAACAAUGUCCUCAUAGAAGACAUUCCGUUGCACUACAACAUUAUACAUAUACAGCUACAAAGUGCAUACAUUUGUUCAAAGAAGUAUAUCAUUUCACUCCAUACCUAAAUAAUGAUCAACACUUAUUCAAAACAUACUGAAGUACAAUAAACUUGUGGAGUACUUAAAUUAUAUCACAUUUACAACUUGAUAUGGUGAUCAACAUGUUCUCUAAGUAAACUUCUAUCUUAGUGCAGUUCCUAGCACUAUGGACAUCGAAUAAUCUUAGUGGAAAAGGUGACAUACACAGCCAACAGAACAAUAGAAACGGAUAAAACCUGGUGUAAGAACUUCAAGGAUUUAUGAAACCUUCUACCCUAAUAUUAUCCUUCCGCGAUAGAAACUUCAUGCAAAUAGGAGGAUUCACGCCUGCCAAAGCUAGUAUCGAACUUGGCAAGGUCCAGAUUCCAUCACCACAAAUUAGUCCAGAUGCAACGGCAGGUCCAAAUGCAUCAGCCUUAACCUUGUCUAUCUUUGUCCAGAUGAACAAGAUCAGGCUCCCGAGACACAUAUCAAUAGCAAAGUAGGAUCCAAGAUAGAACGGUAUGGCCAUUGCCAUUGGAAGAGGAAUAUACUUCGCCUUGUUCUUUCCUACAGCGUCCCUUAAGGCGUUGAUGGCAAUAGCUCCAAGGAAGAAUACGUAACAAAGGGUGAGACAGUUUUUAGGUAGAGCUGAGAAACCUUCGACUCCCAAGAUAGACAUGUUACGGUAGACAAGAGCAUAAGGGGCAGGAUAUUCCGAACCUGGAACGCCUAAGUCGUGGAACGCCUUGUAGAAGAGCCAAAAUACACAAGGAGAGAUGACGCAGCCCAUUGCUGUUCCGAUUAUCUGGCUUAUGAACAUGGACCGAGGAGAAGCCAAUGUCAUGUAUCCAGUUUUGAAGUCCUGUGUUAGGUCGGAUGCAGUGGAGACGAUGUUCAUCAUCACACCACAAGCAGCUAAUCCUGCUAGAACCCCACCAUGAGCGGCCCCGGCCCAUGCUCCAAUUGUGAAAAUGGCCAGCUUUCCGUACGUAGAUGCCAAUGACCAGUCGGUGAGACCACAGCCAUAAGCAUUGCAGAAGGCUAGUAUUGGUGCAAAAAUAUAAAUUACCACGAUAUAGUACCAUUUAAGUUGAUGGAAAAUAUGCGGAAGUGUUACAGUGGAGACGAUGGCAAUGCUAACGUAACCAGCUAUUGCGACCCACAUUGGGAUUUGAUCCUUGAGGAAAAGCUCGGUUCGUAUCUGAUCAUCAUAAGAUAAAGAAGGCUCUGUAGGAGAUCCACGGGCACCAACAGGAAGGACGGACACUGCUCUUUUCUCACGGAUUUGGAAAUAUAUACCAUAUAAUGUUCGUCCAAGUACUUUGCAGAAGUUGUAGAGACCAUCACCAAGGAUCAUGGCGAUUGCUAUGAAGACCUGCAAUACAAGAUCAUUAUGGAAACCCAAUAAGCCUCAUUUCAGUUUUAUAAAAGAAUCAAGAUUGUAGACUCAUAUUCAUUGUUCUUCUCCAAAAGAGAUGGAGAAAAGGGGAGAAUACCCUGUAACCUUGUAUGCCAUGAAGGCUGCUGGCGCUUUGAUUAGCAGGGUACCAAUGACCUUUUCUGUCUUGAAUAAGAGGCCACAUUAUACCCCAUGAAAGGAUAGCUCCAACUAGCAAAGAUAUGUUUAUCAGAUAAGGACAUAUCAUCCCAACACCAACAUAUGUUGCCGAGAAGUCAAAGUAAAACCUGGUCGAUUGGAGAAAUAAGUCGAAAGAUUAAAAUGAUAAACAGGUAAAAGUUAGCUAUACGAGUUGAGAUGUCCUACUGAGAGAACAAAUAAAUAUUACCUGUUCUCGUAGGCUUUGAGGCCGAAUGUGGGAAAAUUCACAAAACCGCAGCCAUCUCCUGCUGUGAAAAACCACUGGAAGAAACCCCAUAAGAAGCUAAAACUGAAAAACUUUCCCAGAGCUUUUACUUGUUUCCUGCAGUUAGCAUUAAGGAAAAAAAAAGAAUUAGUACUUUCAUUUAUAAGUAACGCUCGUCCAUAUACAAAAGACUCACUUGGCUAGCUUAGCUCCUUGCGGCGUAUGGAAACUGUUGAUCAGGUGAGCAGUUGCAGUUCCACUUGGAUAAAUCAGUUUGAAGUCUAUGAUCAUAAUCUGAAACAUAUAUACAUGCAUUAUCUCAAUACCGCAAUUUAUAUUUUAUCUGAACAAAGAAUUAUAACUGCAUCAAUUGUGAGCCAUUCAUUCCAAAACUACUAUGGUACAUCUCCAACUUUUGAAUCUUUUCUCUACCUCUCAAAAAAAAAAAAAAAAACGGAUGAAAAUCAUAUCUUAUGAAAAGGAAAAAGGUCAAAAUUUUCCCUGUACUACACAAAAUUUCCUCACUUUGUCCUCUAUUACGAUUUAAGUCUGUUCAUAUCCUUGUCGACAACAAACCAAAAGGCAGCCCCGGUGCACAAGACAUCCCGCAUUACGCAGGGCUGGGGGAAGGGCAAGACUUUAAGGGGUGAGCUGUAGACAACCUACUCUAAUACAAGUAUUAACGGAUCUUUCAAGGUUUGAACCUGAUCUAUAUGGGCAACAACAACAAACAACAAACCAGUAAAAUUAGUGGAGUCGGGGAGGAUAGGAUGUACGCCUCACCCCUACCUGGAGAAGGUAGAGAGGCUGUUUCCAAAAAGCCAUCGGCUCAGGAUGACCUAAAGGGGCAAGUGUCUCGUACUAUAGGUGCAAAUUUGAACCUUUACCCCUUAUAAAAGUUUGAACAAAGUAUUGACUAUAGCUUAUAGAAGUUCCAUUGUGCUGGAAAACAUGAUAGUAUAACAUAUGAAUUAGAGAUGUUGUGAGUUAAGAAUGUACCUUACGAAGAGGAACAACUGAGAAAAGUCCAAGAAAGCUAACAACAAAAAGGAAACAAAUCAUCCAUCCCAAAGAAGGGUUCUUGAUAUUCUCUGCAGCAUUAUCUUCAUUUGACUGUUUAGCAAUAACUUCACUCAUGCCAAAAAGAUAGCUUCCAAAACCUCCUGCUCAUCAAAAAGUAAUAUGUAAAUAAACCAAAUAUGAGCUAUUGCAUUUUGAGCUGCUUUUAGCACCUUAAAAAGAACCGGAAGAGAAGAUGUUAAUUUCUCGUGUGGUUUAACGUGGUGUGAUAUUGUCCGUAUUAGGGCAAGCGCACACUCCUCACACCAUUAAGAGUACCCAAUGGUGUGAGGUUGGGUGCGGACCUUCCCUGGCGCUAGCUUGAAUGCAUGAUGCUUUAUGCAGCGGACUAGCUUUUUUUUUUUUACUUUCCAUAUGGAGCUUUGGACACGCACCCAACAAAUUCACCUGUAAAUAUCUACUGCUCAUAUUUCAAAUCAGUGGGAGCAAUCUUCUUUUCCAUCUUAUUGUUUGGACUGUUAAUUAUUUUUAAAUUCAUCAGCUAAUUAAUAGGAAAAUGCCUGAUAAGAUUUCCAAAACUUGUAGAGAUCAUAGCCCAGGUUCCAGUAACAAACAAUUUAAGAAACAUUACAGAAGGCAUAAAAUUGUCAUAUAAUUCUUUACAUUUUUUUUAGCAAUUUCUCCAAUUUUAGCAACCAUUAUUUCACUUGAAAUACACUUCAAACAAGUCUUUAAAAUUUCACAAGUAUUGAAGUUCAGUGGUGGACGUAGCACAACAACUACUUCGAGUUUAACUAUAGAUAAUUAAAUGAUUAUAAGUUUCUUUAUGUGUUUGUAUUAAAACUUUCGACAUGUUGUUAUGCACUAGUAAUGGAUUAUAACUUAUGAUUAAGAUCCUUAAUCUGGAUCUGGCCAUGUUAGUAGUCAGAACAGAAGGGUUAUUUUUUUCCAAUAUAUGCAGUUCUUCUGGAUAUACAAUAUCUCGGAUAUAGCACAUCGGAAAAAACUUUUAUCUCUAUUAUAAGGUAUAUAUUACUCUUCUCGGAUCUUGGAAUAUACUGGUUAUCAGCAUAUAAAACUACCCUUUCCAAACCUCACACUGUGAGAAUAUAUUGGAUGUCUGUCUAUACGUUAUCCUCAACACGCUCCAUACUAUGAGAAUAUACUGGACGUUUGCAUAUAUAUUAUCUUUCCCGUACCCCACACUAUGAGAAUAUCAUGGUGGUUUGCGUAUACAGUACCCUCCCCAAACCUCACACUAUAAAAAUAUAAUGGACGUUUACAUAUAUAUUAUUUUUUCCGAACCGUACAUAUUAAAAUAUAGUGAGUAUGUUGUUGUUAUUGUAUACUGUAUCACGGAUAUAAUUGUGCAAAAUGAUGAUCAACAUUAUUAGGUUGACCCACCACUUGCGGGGAUGAUGAUAACAAAGACUUAAAAUAAUGUGUAUAGCAAAUUUCCAGCUUGCGAAAGUGGUAAUCAGAUUAUUCCAACAAGUCAAGUAAAUAACACUCCUGUUGCUGCAAAGACUUUUAAAUUAGUCAAUAAUUUACACUAUUGACUAAACUCAUUAAUUAUUAAUUUACAGAAUCCAAGAAUAUACUAAUUCACCAACCUGAAUUAUUUUUUUAAAACUAUUCUACACAGAAAUUGAUAACAAAGUUUAAAUCACAAGUCAUCUUAGAAAGGGACUUACAAGUGCAAAAUAUUGAAUCGGUGAUAUUUCUAUACACUAUGGACUCCACAAAACUACAACAAAGCAAGAAGCCUAAAGAGAAAUAAACAAAUAUCCCGUGGACCAAAUUAUAAUGACAUAGUAUAUAGUCCAACAUUACAGCACACAUUAAUGGCGAUAUCACUUUGUUUCUUUCUUCAUUUAAUUGCAAAAUGAAAUAAACAUAUGCUUUGACAAAAAAUACAAUUCAAGCUUUUGUUUUCCAACCCCACCUUUAUGGAAAGUGAUUUUCACAUUAAGUAAAAACGUACUCAUCGACUAAACAAAACUCUUUUUGUGAAGUCAAACUUAAAUUGAAUUCUCUUUUAUAAUUAAUUUAAUCACUUAAAAGAUAAAUAACGGGAUUCGUCAAAGUAAAAUUAGUAACGUAAACAAAAGACAGAUUAUUUGCUACUAUUAAAAUUUUACUAGACCCUUCACUCAAGUAACAAUGCUUAUAGGAAGGAAAAAAAAAAAUUACAUCCAUAUAUUAUAUCAUACAGGUCCAACUUGGUUAUCAUAAGAAAAUAUUAAAAAAAAUUAAUAUAUGUAGAUGAAUAUAACUAAAAGUUUAAUUAUUUAUAUACUGUAAUAAAACAAUAACAGCCCGGCAAAAUUUCAUUAAUAGAAUUUGAGGAGAAUAAUAUAUAGAUGAACCUUAUUCAUUUUAUACACUAAUAAUAGUAGUACUAUAUUAGUCACUUGAAAAAAUAAUUACAAUUAGCAACUCGACAAAUAAGAUGGUUAAGCUACACUGACAAUAUUAUUACACUACCAGUUAAAUCUCGUAAAAGUUACGAAAACAUCAAUAACAACAAAUUUAGUAUGCUUUUAUGAGUGGGGUUUAGAGAGGUGAGUAUAUGCACAACUUUAUUUUUUCUUACGAAGCUAAAAAGGUUGUUUUUAAUAAAUAAUCCGUUAAAAAAACAAAAUCUUAUAAAAGUUAAUCAUGUUUAAUUUGCAUAAUUUUUUGAGUAGGAUAUAAAGACCGGAUGAAAUCAAACUAAAGAAUUACUUACCACUAAAUGCUAUGCCAGAAGUUGCAACAACACAAGUCUGAAUAACUGUAUUUUCUUGACGAGUAAAUGGCUGUUUUAGCCAACCAGAUUUCUCAAGAAACUUAGUCCAAGUUUUGACAAAGAAGAAUCCCAAAAGACCAGCAGAAACAUUAAGAGAAGGGAUAAUUCCAGUAGUAAGAUUUAACUUCAUAACAAUGAAAGUGAAUAGAACUCCCAAUACAAAGCUCACAAAAAAUGCUCUGAAUGUUAAUUGACUUUGCCAUGUUGGAACUUCUUUUGACUCAAAAAUUCUUUCUACAGAUAGUGUAGAUUCUUCUUCUUGUUCUGAUUCUAAAUGGGAUUCAUUGGUUUUUUUGGCAAGAAAAUCAACUUGAGAAUUUGUUGAGUAUUCAUUAGAAGAAUAUGGUUCUCUCCUAUUAUUACUGUUGGAUCUAUCCAUGGUUUUUGUGGUGUAUACAAAAAGUAUACUCUUUUUUUGUGGGGUUGUUUAAUUUGCUUUGUUUUCUUGAAAUGAGGAUUGGUAUUUAUUGAAUUGAAGAAGAAAGGUGAACAAAAAUGCGUGCUGCUAAGUGGGUCACACUAUAUUGUAUACUAUAAGAUUUUUUCAUAUCCAAAUAAAUGGAAAUGGUUGUCCUUAUAAGGUGGAGGGUGCGUGGAAUUGGUGAGGCGUGAGGGGNNNNNNNNNNNNNNNNNNNNNNNNNNNNNNNNNNNNNNNNNNNNNNNNNNNNNNNNNNNNNNNNNNNNNNNNNNNNNNNNNNNNNNNNNNNNNNNNNNNNNNNNNNNNNNNNNNNNNNNNNNNNNNNNNNNNNNNNNNNNNNNNNNNNNNNNNNNNNNNNNNNNNNNNNNNNNNNNNNNNNNNNNNNNNNNNNNNNNNNNNNNNNNNNNNNNNNNNNNNNNNNNNNNNNNNNNNNNNNNNNNNNNNNNNNNNNNNNNNNNNNNNNNNNNNNNNNNNNNNNNNNNNNNNNNNNNNNNNNNNNNNNNNNNNNNNNNNNNNNNNNNNNNNNNNNNNNNNNNNNNNNNNNNNNNNNNNNGGGGUGAAUAUAACCAUCAUAUGGCAUUACUGUAAUCGUUUUAUAUGAAAUAUUGAAUUGAACGCUUUCUUGAUAGAGAUGUAGAUGGUUUUGUUUUCAUCGUUUCAAUUUACGUGACACUAUUAUUAUUGAUGGGAUAAAAAAAAUUUCAUUACUUUUUAAAAUAUUUAAUCUAUUAAUUAUUAUAAUUUAUAACAAUUUUUAUAAUAUAAUUUUAAAUAUAUAAAGCUUAUUUCAAAACACUCAUAAAUCGCAAAUCAAGUUGACAUUAAAAAUUACUCCCUGCGUCCCAUUAUAUGAGAUGGGAUAUGGAAUACGAGGUCAAACUAUUUAACUUAAGUGUAAAUUCUGACAUAAUAUCUCUAAAUUUUUGAAAUAAAAUUUAAGUAUUUGAAAUUAUAUAAAAAUUAUAAGUCAUAAUAAUUAAUAAUUUGAAAUAUUCAAAAGACAUGUAAGAAAAUCACAUUCAAAGAAAAGUCUCUUGACUCUCCAAAGCGUAAUCGUGUGGACAGAGCGAAUAAGUAAUUUACCUCUUAUAGCAUGUGUUUAGGAGGCAAGGUGGGUAAGGUCGAGGGCGAGGGAUGCGGACGGAUAUAGACUUUGGUACUCAGCAUUCCAGAAGGGUAAGAAUGGAGCGGAAAUCUUGGUGAAUAGAGAAUUUAGAGAGUCUGUGGUUGAAAUUAGACUAGUGAAUGAUAUAUUGAUGAUUAUUAAGUUGGUGGUUGGAGAGCUCAUCCUAAACUUUAUUAGCGCCUAUUCGCUGCAUGUGAGCCUAGAUAAGGAGGUUAAACUGCGCUUCUGGGAUGGGUUAGAUGAGGUUUCGCGCUAGGUUCCGCCUACUGAGAAAUUCAUAGGAGGAGAUUUCAAUGGUCAUACUGGGUCGACCACCGGUGGUUAUAGUGAGGGGUAUGGAGGCUUCAAUUUUAGGGAGAAGAAUGGAUGAGGUACCUCGUUGUUGGACUUCGCUAAGGCUUUUAGGUUGGUGAUUAAGAACUCUAGCCUUCCGAAGAGGGAAGAACAUUUGGUUACUUUUCAAAAUGCAGUGGCGAAGAUUCAGAUUGAUUAUCUCCUCUUCAUAAGAUGUGGCAGAGGGUUAUUUCUUUUAAAAGAAGAUUAGAGGACGAAAGAAGAAGCUCUUACAUCGGAUAAAGCCUAAUUCCACUGUCCUUUGAAGAUUAGAAGAUAGUGAAGGCCGAUUUCCUUUUUAAAGAUCACUCAACGAUGUGGCAAAUCCCCUUUUUUAAGUCUAUGAAUUGGAAGCAGGAAAGACUCUUCUUGAAAGCGAGUUCAGUGGCUCUCUGGUGAGGGGCACGAACGGUAUAACAUAGUUGCCACGAAGACACUUUUUUUUUUCUCUUUCUGUUUUUGAGGUCUGAUCCGAAGGUAAACUCUAGACACAUCGCACAUGCGAUUGACGGCUUUUGGAUCGAAGGAGAAGCUAGGGUUCAAAAGGGCCAAUGAAACUGCUAGUGGACUGACUUUCUAGGCCUUCUCUCUUGCAAAUGAACUAAAGGCUAGGCGCCUCAGGGAAAUGUAUAGUGCUGCGGGAGUCCGUUCACCUUGAAGUGGAACUGUUGUGGCGGGGAAUGUCACUAGUUGUGAUGCUUGCUGCUCUGGUUCCCUUUCGCCCCUCUUACAACACAAGAAAGAAGGUGAGAGUAAGCACGACUUUCUUCUUCUCUUAACUAUAUCCUAGUUAAGAGAAGAAGAAAGUCUAGCCGGAAUAAGGCCUAAGGGGAAGUACGUAAUACAGAUCACAUGGUCUUUUACUGAUCCUCUUUCGAGCUGUCGAGUGACAAUUGGCCGAGGGGCCCUUUUUUCUUUUAUAAGGGAAGAGAUUGUAGCUGGGUACAAAUAGGCCGGGACGAGUAGGCAAGCACGCGGGUUGUACCGGUCAGCUUUGAGCUGUCGAGUGACGAUUGCUCCAUCUCUUAAGAAAGGACGCGGGGGGCCUGUCUUAUAAUAAAGGGGGUACUCUAGACGAGUAGGCAAGCAGGCGGGUUGUACCGGUCAGCUUUGAGCUGUCGAGUGACGAUUGCUCCAUCUCUUAAGGAAGGAUGCGGGGAGCCUGUCUUAUAAUAAAGGGGGUACUCUCUUCUCUGAUGUGCGCUAUAUUAUUGUGGCCUAUUCCUUAAGGAGUGAUCCGGGAUUAAGCCACGUGGCGAUACCCGCCAAAAGAAAGGGGGCCUUUCGUACGGAUUGGAGUACGAAGAUAAUUAUUCAGCACACUAAAAUCUAGUGGAUGGGGUUCCAUAUUCAUGAAAAGCCGGGGUUGAAACAUGUUAUGAAACUAAGACAACAAUUAUUUCUAAUUGGAUUGGAGUACGAUGAUAAUUAUUCGGCGCACUAAAAUCUAGUAGAUGGGGUUCCAUAUUCAUGACUUUCAUACUUCUGACGUCGACUCAUCUUGCUUGGAAGUCUUAUGAAUGCAGCAAAAACUAAGGGUUCCUCUACAGUCAAUUGUGGAAAAAGCACAUCAUCUUGUGUCACGAAACCCACCUAGCACACCAUUGCUCAAUUCGGUAUGGAAGUUAAUACAAAAUCAUGUACAUUGAAAGAAAGACUUUUCUAUAUUCUUGGUUUGCUUUGGGCCCAGGAAAAGAAGGGAAUGAGCUCGGCUGCUUCUCCUCAACACUUUUUUUUCUCCGUGCCCGUUCCGCAUGCGCUUCGCGCGCCAUUGGCUCUUUGCUCUCCUCUUAUUCUUCAUUGGACGGUUCGGAUGGACUUCGCCGUUCUUUCCCAACAAAAAUCGAAAGGGCUGUAUCACAUCGAGAUGUCGAUUAGACGGUUUGGAUGGACUUCGCCGUUCUUUCCCAACAAAAAUCGAAAGGGUUGUAUCACAUCGAGAUGUCGAUUCGUUCCCUAUUUAUACUUUUGGGCCCUUCAUCUUUCUGAAUUGAGACCCGGCCCGGCUCGCGUCCUUCCAACAACCAGCGGGGAGCACCUCAGUAUAUGAUAUUGCGCAGUAACUGGGAGUCCUAUUACACCUAAGGCCAACUUCAAUUCACCAAACCAAGGUUCAUCUCGUGUAGUCAUUGUGGACUCGUACAAGGAUAUUGAGUAGACGGUUGAUGUAUCAGACUCGACCCUAUCUUUCGUAGCAUGCAUUCCCAUCCGUGUCGCAACUGAUUCGGUAAGCUACGUGUCCGGUGCACGAAUUCAUUGUGGACUCGUACAAGGACCCUUUAGAGAUAGGGGCGAGCAAAAGAGCUCGUUCUUCCAUUUUGAGAUCUUUAGAUUCGUAUGAUCAUAAUAGAGUCCCUUUACUUUCUAUUAUAUUAGUCAAGAGCUAGCGCCCUACAACUACUAUAGUAUAGCAGAGCAGCCAGCUUCAAAGCUUACCCGAUUCUAAAAAGAAGUAUUAUUAUAAAAGAGAAAGGUUAGGGGGCUGAGAAACUCUUGCUUGCUGCUUGCUGUCUACUUUGCGAGCCUUCACUUCCCUGUUCUGUAACUUCCUUUUUUUCGUCCGUCCACAACUCUGUAAUAAGAGAGAAAGGGGCGGCUAUCUAGCGGGAGUCGUUUCGGUUGUAUGCCACGAGGUCCCUAUGGACAAGGGGACAAGUGAAUCAUCGCUUUUGGGCGCAGGCAGCCCUCUACCAUCUAUCCCAUUGCAUUCCAUCGUCUCGUAUUGUACUGUGCCGUAUCAGACCAGAUAGAUCUAUUGAGUGAGAGAAAGGGAGAAAACUCUAAUUAGAUAUUCUUUUUAUAUUGAUAGGGAUCCCCAUUCAUUCCUAGAUUCCCGUCACUACGGACUGAUUGUCCCUACCUAACUACAUGGUAGUGGUCUAGGGAGCGCAAUUGCUAGAGCACGGGAGAAUUAAGAGUAAUGAUUUCAGCAAGAGCAGCA
rnacentral:lncRNA from 1 species